rnacentral:tRNA from 1 species
GGAGAAUUCGCCUAGUGGCCUAUGGCGCACGCUUGGAAAGCGUGUUGGGUGCAAGCCCUCGGGGGUUCGAAUCCCCCAUUCUCCGCCCAGA